ACAUUGCUGUGAGGAAGCCUGGGCUACAUGGAGAAGCCCACAUGAAGAGGCCCAUGUGGAGAGGAACUGAGGCCCCGACAUUUGGCCCCAUCUGCGCUACCAGCUGAUAGCCAGCAUGAGCCUACCAGCCAGAUAUGAGGACAUGAAUUGCCUUGGACUUUUACCCUAAAGGUUGUGGAUCAGGAAACGUCCUAAACAAAGCACAGGGGAAUGGCACUAAUCUCACCAGUAAGGUGUGUAGCCAAACCAGCUGUUCCCUGUUAAGAGACGAGCUCUCCUUCUGUAGCCCAGAGUGGACUGCAGUAGUAUGAUCUUACUGCAGCGUCGAACUCCUGGGCUCAAGCGAUCCUCCUGCCUCAGCAUCCUAAGUACCUGGGACUACACGUGCACACCACCAUGCCUAGCUGGACUCUUUUUUCAAUAGAUACAAAUAAAUUUGUUUGUUUAA